AGUGAACGCUGGCGGUAGGCCUAACACAUGCAAGUCGAACGGCAGCACAGAGGAGCUUGCUCCUUGGGUGGCGAGUGGCGGACGGGUGAGGAAUACAUCGGAAUCUACUCUGUCGUGGGGGAUAACGUAGGGAAACUUACGCUAAUACCGCAUACGACCUACGGGUGAAAGCAGGGGACCUUCGGGCCUUGCGCGAUUGAAUGAGCCGAUGUCGGAUUAGCUAGUUGGCGGGGUAAAGGCCCACCAAGGCGACGAUCCGUAGCUGGUCUGAGAGGAGGAUCGGCCACACGGGAACGGGGAAACGGUCCAGACUGCUACGGGGGGCAUCAGUGGGUAAUAUUGGACAAUGGGCGCAAGCCUGAUCCAGCCAUACCGCGUGGGUGAAGAAGGCCUUCGGGUUGUAAAGCCCUUUUGUUGGGAAAGAAAUCCAGCAGGCUAAUACCCGGUUGGGAUGACGGUACCCAAAGAAUAAGCACCGGCUAACUUCGUGCCAGCAGCCGCCGUAA
rnacentral:rRNA from 1 species